rnacentral:rRNA from 1 species
GCACCUUCGGGUGCCGAGUAAAGCGGCGAACGGGUGAGUAACACGUGAGUAACGUACCUUCGAGUGGGGAACAAUCCUUCGAAAGAAGGGCUAAUACCGCAUGAGACCACGGGGUCGCAGGACCCAGUGGUCAAAGAGUUCGGGGCUUGCCCCGGACUCGCUCGACGAUCGGCUCGCGGCCCAUUAGGUCGUUGGUGAGGGUAAAAGCCUACCAAGCCGAAGAUGGGUAGCUGGUCUGAGAGGACGAUCAGCCACACUGGGACUGAGACACGGCCCAGACUCCUACGGGAGGCAGCAGUGGGGAAUCUUGCGCAAUGGGGGCAACCCUGACGCAGCGACGCCGCGUGUGUGACGAAGGCCUUCGGGUCGUAAAGCACUGUCAGGUGGGAAGAAGGCGUAGUCGGCCUCGGUCGGCUGCGUUGACGGUACCGCCGAAGGAAGCACCGGCCAACUCCGUGCCAGCAGCCGCGGUAAGACGGAGGGUGCAAGCGUUGUUCGGAAUCAUUGGGCGUACAGGGUGCGCAGGCGGCCUGGCAAGUCCGAUGUGAAAGCCCGGGGCUCAACUCCGGAAUCGCAUUGGAAACUGUCAGGCUUGAGUCCGAGAGGGGCCAGUGGAAUUCCUGGUGUAGGGGUGAAAUCCGUAGAGAUCAUGAGGAACACCGGCGGCGAAAGCGACUGGCUGGAUCGGGACUGACGCUGAGCACGAAAGCGUGGGCAGCGAACAGGAUUAGAUACCCUGGUAGUCCGCGCUCUAAACCCUGUUCACUGGACGUUGGAUGGGUCAAACCGUCCAGGGUCGAAGCUAACGCGUUAAGUGAACCGCCUGGGGAGUACGGCCGCAAGGCUAAAACUCAAAGGAAUUGACGGGGGCCCGCAC